rnacentral:rRNA from 1 species
GCUCAGGAUGAACGCUAGCUACAGGCUUAACACACGCAAGUCGAGGGGUAGCAGGGUAGCAAUACCGCUGACGACCGGCGCACGGGUGAGUAACACGUAUCCAACCUUCCCAUAACUCGGGGAUAGCCUUUCGAAAGAAAGAUUAAUACCCGAUAGUACUUUAUUAAGGCAUCUUAAGAAAGUUAAAGAUUUAUUGGUUAUGGAUGGGGAUGCGUUCCAUUAGAUAGUUGGUGAGGUAACGGCUCACCAAGUCUUCGAUGGAUAGGGGUUCUGAGAGGAAGGUCCCCCACAUUGGUACUGAGACACGGACCAAACUCCUACGGGAGGCAGCAGU